UACGAGGGGGGCGAGCGUUGUUCGGAAUUAUUGGGCGUAAAGGGUGCGUAGGCGGUUCCGCAAGUCCUGUGUGAAAUCUUCGGGCUCAACUCGAAGUCUGCACGGGAAACUGCGGGGCUUGAGUGUGGGAGAGGUGAGUGGAAUUCCCGGUGUAGCGGUGAAAUGCGUAGAUAUCGGGAGGACACCUGUGGCGAAAGCGGCUCACUGGACCAUAACUGACGCUGAUGCACGAAAGCUGGGGGAGCAAACCAGG
rnacentral:rRNA from 1 species